rnacentral:lncRNA from 1 species
UAUGUCCAGAUUUGGCGGAAUAUGACGAAUACAGAUUUGUUGCUAACCUAAAGUUAGCUACGAUAUGAAAUGAAUUUAGUUAUGAAUAUAUAAGCGGUGAUAAUAACCACCAUAUAAUCAUGUAAUAUAAUAGUAUAUAUAUAUAUAUAUAUAUAUGAAAGUACGUCUAAACUAUUGCUCCGCUCACACAUACGCGCACACACUCACACACACAUGUGAGCGUAUUUGUGUGCGUAUGUGUAUUGAGAGAGAUGCAUGUAUAUAUAUAUGUAUAUAUGAGUGAUAAUUUAUAUAUGCACCUAUAGAGGUUGCCUAGGAAAAGCCUCGAUCUUUAUAGAUUGCUCUUACUCUCUAGGUAUUCACCGUUCCUGUGUUAUGUAUAUAAAUUAUUAAUAAUCGUCGAUUGAAGUUUACAGUUUAAACUAUUGUUUCCGAUCAAGGCUGUAAAAUAUCGUUUCAGCUAUAGAAGAAAAACAACAUGCUGAUGGUACGUUCGUCUGUGUACAUUGAAUGUUCGGUCAUAUUUAUAAUAAUCUCCAUGCUACAUAAAUUCAAUAAAAUCAUCAAACACAAAGCAUAACAGGCAAUAUUCACGGAGACAGAUCUACAGCAUUCUUCUAACGACUUGUUUUUACUGGAGGAAAAGAACCAUCUAUAUUUUUACAGAACAGAUUUAUGGGGAGGUCCCAUAAAUUAAACAAUUCCAUC